rnacentral:rRNA from 1 species
AGAGUUUGAUCCUGGCUCAGAUUGAACGCUGGCGGCAUGCCUUACACAUGCAAGUCGAACGGCAGCACGGGAGCAAUCCUGGUGGCGAGUGGCGAACGGGUGAGUAAUAUAUCGGAACGUGCCCAGUCGUGGGGGAUAACGUAGAGAAAUUUACGCUAAUACCGCAUACGAUCUAAGGAUGAAAGCGGGGGACCGUAAGGCCUCGCGCGAUUGGAGCGGCUGAUAUCAGAUUAGGUUGUUGGUGAGGUAAAAGCUCACCAAGCCGACGAUCUGUAGCUGGUUUGAGAGAACGACCAGCCACACUGGGACUGAGACACGGCCCAGACUCCUACGGGAGGCAGCAGUGGGGAAUUUUGGACAAUGGGCGAAAGCCUGAUCCAGCAAUGCCGCGUGCAGGAAGAAGGCCUUCGGGUUGUAAACUGCUUUUGUACGGAACGAAAAGGUCUGC